CUAGAAAGAGAAGGCUUUCCUAGAGCUGCGUUCUCACUGUGCCCAUUGGCAUUCCUUGGUUUCCGGCUUCUCCGCCUCCCAGUCCGAAACAUGAAAGCAAAGGAAACCCAGAGAACUCCCUACCACGUUGUUCUUCAAGAUCCCCUGCCAGUUUGCCUUCUUCUCUCAAGCUCUCAGAGGCCCAAGGACGAUUAACAGAACUAGGUCACGGCAUUUUUGUUCACCAUCUUUCUUUAUAAAAACCCUGCCCUGCUUCUCUUUACUGAUUAGAGGGUGUCUGAGCAUCCCCAGGUGACUUGAGAGGCCCAGAUCUCAGAGGUCACCUGAGUGUGAAGGAUAAGACUGCAUGUCACAGGCGAAAUGGGAUUCACCACGUGAUAGUGAGCCUCCCAGAGCCCCCUGCAGUGCCACAACAUGGCACAGGUGCCCGGGAAACAGCUAUUGAAUGAAUUAACAAGCCACCACAUCCUGCCCCCACUGAGUCCAAAAUCCUCCCACUGCCACAGCAUGUUCUGCCCACCAAACAGAGGGAAGACAGGGUCAGCAGCUCCAUGGGCCCUCAGAGAAAGCCCAGCCUUAACACAGCAAUGCAGAACCCACUGCAGGCAACAGAGUGUCCUGGCGAUGGAGCCAUCUGCCCAGGUUCAAAUGCUGCAUGGCCCUGGGCAAGUUCCAUGGCUUCACUGCCCCUCAAUCCUGAGCUGUAAACUGCAGCUACCAACAGGGCCCACCUCAUGGGGAUCUUAUGAGGACUGAAUGAGAUAACAGAGGUACAACUUCCCAGAUGCGAUGUGGACACAAAGUUUUGGAGAGUGAAUAGGAGUUUUCCGGAUGGACCAAGGGUAGGAAGUCACUCCAGGACAUAGGAUGCUGCAAAGAGCCACACUCUGGAUGACAACAGGACAGGCCUUUAGGAGGUGGCUGUCAAGGCUGGCUGAAGGUUGGAACCUCCUGGAGUGCUUGCAAAAACUACCAAGGAGAUAAUACACAUUUGAGAUGAUGGAUUUGCUAAUUAUCCUAUUUGCAUAAUGUAUACAUGAUUCAAAACAUCACAUUGUACCCCAUAAAUGUGUGCAAUUAUUAAUAUUAUGUGUGAAUAAAAUACCAAUGUCAGCCCCA
rnacentral:lncRNA from 13 species